CACGGGGUUGACAACAAGCAAAUUAAAGUGAUAUCUGCUGUUGCUGCCCCUCCAGCCCUGCAAAAGCUGAGCGAGAAGUUUCCAGGGCUUCAUGUAUACACUGGCAUCAUUGAUCCUAUUGUAAAUGAAAAAGGGUUCAUAAUCCCUGGACUGGGUGAUGCUGGAGACCGCAGCUUCGGUACAUAAAGUCAUUACUCAAGUACACUGGUGUCUGAUUUUUAGUUCUUACUCCUGCAAUUUUGGAAUAUUGAGCCUAUUAAUAGGAAAGAUUUCUGAGAAUCAUUGUUUUAUUAGAGGAAGUUAAACUUGAUUCAUUUUGCAAAAUAUGGUAUUGAAGAAAUAGGAACCAAAAUGUGCCCCCCAUGGAUUUUGUAUCAACCGUUCUAAUUUUUCUUGACCAUAAUUAAAUCUGGCUUUGGAGAUUCCA